CCAUUCUUCCGAAACUGCUGGCAUUAAUGUUUCUAAAAGUAAGCUGUCUUUAGUAUCAUAUUGUUUGUGAAAGAUUCCAUUCUGGUUUUGUGAAAUCUUGCCUGGGGACAUGCUUUUCAAGAUCUGAAUCUGUUGCUUUGGUUUGGGGGACUGAAUACAUCCAUGAAUAAAGUUGUGCACGGGGAAUUCUUAAGUGCUUGUGAGAAAACUCCAAGAAAACAAGGGACCUCAAUGGAUAAGAGGCUGCACACUCAAUGCCUUCUGGGCCCGAGUAUGUUACUGAGUAACACUAAGUAUGAAGAGCUACAGGAAACCUGAAGUGUUCAUCCCAUCUGAAGGACAACUUCAUCACAUCUCUAGCUGAUAAUUACUCUGCAGGGAUGUUGGGCCCACCCAGGGAUUCAAGAUCGUUACAUUUUCAAAAGAAAAGUAUAAAUUAAAAUCAUAUAAGGAAAUA